rnacentral:rRNA from 1 species
GCAGUCGAACGAUGAAGCCCAGCUUGCUGGGCGGAUUAGUGGCGAACGGGUGAGUAACACGUGAGUAACCUGCCCUUGACUCUGGGAUAAGCCCGGGAAACUGGGUCUAAUACCGGAUAGGAGCGCCUGUCGCAUGACGGGUGCUGGAAAGAUCUUUCGGUCAUGGAUGGACUCGCGGCCUAUCAGCUUGUUGGUGAGGUAACGGCUCACCAAGGCGACGACGGGUAGCCGGCCUGAGAGGGUGACCGGCCACACUGGGACUGAGACACGGCCCAGACUCCUACGGGAGGCAGCAGUGGGGAAUAUUGCACAAUGGGCGAAAGCCUGAUGCAGCGACGCCGCGUGAGGGAUGACGGCCUUCGGGUUGUAAACCUCUUUCAGCAGGGAAGAAGCGAAAGUGACGGUACCUGCAGAAGAAGCACCGGCUAACUACGUGCCAGCAGCCGCGGUAAUACGUAGGGUGCGAGCGUUAUCCGGAAUUAUUGGGCGUAAAGAGCUCGUAGGCGGUUUGUCACGUCUGUCGUGAAAGUCCGGGGCUUAACCCCGGAUCUGCGGUGGGUACGGGCAGACUAGAGUGCAGUAGGGGAGACUGGAAUUCCUGGUGUAGCGGUGGAAUGCGCAGAUAUCAGGAGGAACACCGAUGGCGAAGGCAGGUCUCUGGGCUGUAACUGACGCUGAGGAGCGAAAGCAUGGGGAGCGAACAGGAUUAGAUACCCUGGUAGUCCAUGC